rnacentral:lncRNA from 1 species
GUGUUAGUCUGGAUCUGUAAAAGCAGCAAAGAGUCCUGUGCCACCGUAUAGACUAACAGACAUAUUGGAGCAUGAGCUUUCGUGGGUGAAUACCCACUUCGUCAUCUCUUUGCUGCUAGUACACAGGGCUAAGUAGCUAAGAAAGGAAAUAUGACCCCUUCCCAGGAAUAUCAACCAAAAUUCGGACUGCAAUAAAUGUUGGGGUUUGUUCACAAGUGAGCAUUUCUCAAGCUUGCUCAGCACCAAUCUGGAUGUGAUUUGUUUUGCCACUUUGGAAAUGCUUGGCUGAUUCAGUCCUAAGGAAUUAAAGCUCCAAAGGCUGAUAUACUAAAACAUAAGGCCAAAAGCAUGUUUCACGAGAGCAGUUAAAAACUGAAAGGAUGGAAAGAACCUGGCAAAAUCUAAGAUUGGAUGCAUCCUAGAAUGUUGAACCAACAGCCGAGAUGCUAGUGAUAACAUUUCACAAACCCCAGAAAUCUGACACUGGAAUGAAAAUGUCAGACGACGAUUUAUAGCAAUGAUCUGAUACUCUUAAAGGCAAUUUGGG